rnacentral:lncRNA from 10 species
CCGGGCUGCCAGGAACGCGCGCAGGGGAGGGGGCGGGCCCGGCCGGGCCACGCCCGCCGGAGGGGAAGGAGGGGCCAAGCACCGCCCGGCGGGGACUGGUGAGCUCCAAGAGCCUGCGAUCCCGGUCCCUGCCUUUACUAGAUGGGUUUCCUUGGGUUCUUGGUCUACACUGACUUCAAAAACGAAGCUGCAGACCCUCGCAGUGAAUGUUACAGUUCUUAAAGGCAGCGUGUCUGGAAUUUGUUCCUUGUGAUGUUCGGAUGUGCUGGGAGUUUUUUCCUUCUGGUGGGUUCGUGAUCUCACUGGCUCAGGAAUGAAGCUGCAGACCCUCGCGGUGAGUGUUACAGUUCUUAAGGCGGCGUAUCCGGAGUUGUUCGUUCCUCCCCGUGGGUUUGUGGUCUCGCUGGCUUCAAAAGUGAAGCUGUAGACCUUUACAGCGAGUAUCACAGCUCACAAAAGCAAUGUGGAACCAAACAGCAAAA